rnacentral:rRNA from 1 species
AACGAACGCUGGCGGCAGGCCUAAAACAUGCAAGUCGAACGAACCUUCGGGUUAGUGGCGCACGGGUGCGUAACGCGCGGGAAUAUACCUCUGGGUGCGGAACAACGUCUGGAAACGGACGCUAAUACCGCAUAAUAUCUACGGAUCAAAGAUUUAUCGCCCAGAGAUUAGCCCGCGUCUGAUUAGCUAGUUGGUGAGGUAAUGGCUCACCAAGGCGACGAUCAGUAGCUGGUCUGAGAGGAUGAUCAGCCACACUGGAACUGAGACACGGUCCAGACUCCUACGGGAGGCAGCAGUUGGGAAUAUUGGACAAUGGGGGAAACCCUGAUCCAGCCAUGCCGCGUGAGUGAAGAAGGCCUUAGGGUUGUAAAGCUCUUUCGGCUGUGAAGAUAAUGACAGUAGCAGAAGAAGAAGCUCCGGCUAAAUUCGUGCCAGCAGCCGCGGUAA